rnacentral:rRNA from 1 species
UGCUCCUAGUACGAGAGGAGCGGAGUGGACGCAUCACUGGUGUUCGGGUUGUCAUGCCAAUGGCACUGCCCGGUAGCUAAAUGCGGAAGAGAUAAGUGCUGAAAGCAUCUAAGCACGAAACUUGCCCCGAGAUGAGUUCUCCCUGACCCUUUAAGGGUCCUGAAGGAACGUUGAAGACGACGACGUUGAUAGGCCGGGUGUGUAAGCGCAGCGAUGCGUUGAGCUAACCGGUACUAAUGAACCGUGAGGCUUAACCUUACAACGCCGAAG